GAUAUUCAAACAAUCAGAGACUGAGGGGAUCAGUGACAAGGUCGGGUUUAAUUUGACUUGCUGGUGCAGUUCCAGCCACUGUGUUUUCGCCAAUUUUUUUUUUUUUUAAAGAAAAAAUACCAUUGUUUUAUUUUCAGAAUAUUCCUUCACCAUCUCUUCUCAUUUCAAUACUUUGAAUCCCAUUUCGAGAUAUGUAUAGCAAACUAUUGAGAACGUACCUAAUAGGUCAGCAGAUUCUGAUCUAUUCAAUCGUGAGUCACAUAUGGAAAGCAAAUUAUGUACAAGCUACGGAGGUAGUAGUGACCAAGAAGGAAGAGAUUAAGGGAAAGCCAGUAGCAUUUAUUGAAAGAUUCUUUGGGGAAAAAAAAUUGGCAUCAUGGAAAGAUAUUGACGUGGUGUCUUUAGGGAAAUACUUUGAAACUACAGCGGAACAGUUGUGUAGAUACGGCAACAGGUAUUAUAUAUUGUAAUAUGGAAAAAGAGUUAUAGAGAUAUGUAGGUCUUGGGAAGUGCGUUAAACAAGACUCCAAGUUUUAUUUUAUUUUCCUUUUGAUCAAUUCUUCUGAGCAAAUUUGUUGUUAGUAUUUUGUGUUUGAACUCCUUUCUUUCCUUUUGACAGUUGAAUUUUCGUUGCCUGGUGCUGACUUGCUGUAGAUCAUGACGUCUGAUUUGGAACGGCAGAUUCUUGCAUAAGAAAGGUACAUAUAUGUGGACUGUUGGUAUCUUUAGGUUGUUCCUAAUUUGGCACGUUUAAAGGGUGUUUCAUUUUCGUGUACUCUUCUAUUCUGAUAGAAUUUCUAUUACGUAGGUCACUUAUAAUUUUCACUCACUUUGAAACUCUUAGCUUCUAAACCAUUUGUGUUCCAUAUAUGCUGCAAGGGAAAAUGUAUACAGGUCAUGCAAUUGUUUAAAGUUAGAGACCAUAUAUAGACGAGUGGAUUUAGGUUGAGUUUAUAUUAUGAUCUAGAUUUCAUCCGAAUCAAGCAUUUUUUAUACACUUCUGAAACUUGGCUUUUUUUUACUAUUCAGCCAUCUUGGAGAGGUUGUGUUUGUUGAGUUGCCAUCAUACACAGCCAUUAUAGUUUCUCAUGCAAACAAAGAUUUCAAGUUUCACAUAUUUACAUUAGCUACAAUUUGUUCUGCAGAUCAACUCUAGCCCAUAUGAAUACAUAUCUGAUACCAGUACGCAUCUCUUUUUCUUUUGGCGGUUAUUAACUCGCCUAAUGUAAGUUUUCAGGCAGCAGACAUAAUUGCGAAUGCGUCCAAAGGUUUCCAAUCACAAUAUAAUGUAUAUAUCUACCACAAAGCUACCUGCCUAUUGAACUGCGUAGUCGUCCAAAUCUCACUAAACCAAGCUCAAAACAUUAACCUUN
rnacentral:lncRNA from 1 species